rnacentral:rRNA from 1 species
CAGCAGCCGCGGGAAAACGGAGGGAGCUAGCGUUGUUCGGAAUUACUGGGCGUAAAGCGCGCGUAGGCGGUUACUCAAGUCAGAGGUGAAAGCCCGGGGCUCAACCCCGGAACUGCCUUUGAAACUAGGUGACUAGAAUCUUGGAGAGGUCAGUGGAAUUCCGAGUGUAGAGGUGAAAUUCGUAGAUAUUCGGAAGAACACCAGUGGCGAAGGCGACUGACUGGACAAGUAUUGACGCUGAGGUGCGAAAGCGUGGGGAGCGAACAGGAUUAGAUACCCCCGUAGUCCCUGUCUCUUAUAC